UACGUAGGGUGCGAGCGUUAAUCGGAAUUACUGGGCGUAAAGCGUGCGCAGGCGGUGAUGUAAGACAGGGGUGAAAUCCCCGGGCUUAACCUGGGAACUGCAUUUGUGACUGCAAGGCUGGAGUGCGGCAGAGGGGGAUGGAAUUCCGCGUGUAGCAGUGAAAUGCGUAGAUAUGCGGAGGAACACCGAUGGCGAAGGCAAUCCCCUGGGCCUGCACUGACGCUCAUGCACGAAAGCGUGGGGAGCAAACAGG
rnacentral:rRNA from 1 species